CAUGCGUGGUGUUGGGUCUGAGCACCGGUCCACAUGUGACCUCCCCAGGGCCCUGGAAUUCUGCUCCUCCACCCAGGACAGAACUGACUCGAGCGUAGGAUUCCUCUGGCAGCCUGCUUUCUGUGUCUGUUUCAGCCCCACAAAGUGUCAAGGAAGAACACGGAGAAAUCUGGACACUUUUCUGAAAACAUUUAAGUGAAAAAGAACUUUCUUUUCCUCCCUAUCUUCCAGGAAACCAUCUACCUUCACUGCUGUUGGAAAGGGCUGCCAUAACAAAUCACCGCAAACUUGGUGGCUUAACAAAACAGCAGUGUGUGUUCUCAGGGUUCUGGAGGCCAAGUCCUAAAUCAAGGUGUCAGCAGGGCUGCCUCCCUCUGAGGCUCCAGGGAGGGUCCUCCCUGCCUCCUCCAGCUCCCGGGGCUGCAGGCGUUCUUGGCUCGUAGGCACAUCAUCCCAGUCUCUGCACCGCGCCCCGCAUGCUCUCACAUAGUCUUCUCCCAGCGUCUCUGUCCCUUCUCCUUCUCUGUCGUUGAGGACAUUUGUCACUGGUCCUAGGGCCCUCCCAGAUUCAGGAAGACCUCAUCUUGCAAACUAGACCUCAUCAUAUCUGUGCAGAACUUGCUCCAAAUAAAGUCACAUUCUGACGCUCUGGGUGGACAUAGUUUUUGGAGGAAGAGAGCCAGUCAAGCUCCUGGAACCACCCAGUGCUGUGUGACCGUGGAUAAGUAAUGAGAUUACCAAGACAGAG
ensembl:lncRNA